AUUGAACGCUGGCGGCAUGCCUUACACAUGCAAGUCGAACGGCAGCGCGGGAGCAAUCCUGGCGGCGAGUGGCGAACGGGUGAGUAAUAUAUCGGAACGUGCCCAGUAGUGGGGGAUAGCCCGGCGAAAGCCGGAUUAAUACCGCAUGAGACCUGAGGGUGAAAGCGGGGGAUCGCAAGACCUCGCGCUAUUGGAGCGGCCGAUAUCAGAUUAGCUAGUUGGUGGGUAAAGGCCUACCAAGGCAACGAUCUGUAGUUGGUCUGAGAGGACGACCAGCCACACUGGGACUGAGACACGGCCCAGACUCCUACGGGAGGCAGCAGUGGGGAAUUUUGGACAAUGGGCGCAAGCCUGAUCCAGCAAUGCCGCGUGCAGGAAGAAGGC
rnacentral:rRNA from 1 species